UACGUAGGGAGCGAGCGUUGUCCGGAAUUACUGGGUGUAAAGGGAGCGUAGGAGGGACUGCAAGUUGGGUGUCAAAUCUACCGGCUCAACCGGUAGCCGCACUCAAAACUGCAGUUCUUGAGUGAAGUAGAGGCAGGCGGAAUUCCUAGUGUAGCGGUGAAAUGCGUAGAUAUUAGGAGGAACACCAGUGGCGAAGGCGGCCUGCUGGGCUUUUACUGACGCUGAGGCUCGAAAGUGUGGGGAGCAAACAGG
rnacentral:rRNA from 1 species